CGAUAAGUUAAUGAUGGGGGAAGUGGGGUCCAGGAAGAGGCGGAGGAUGACGUCAGCGGUGUUAACGUCGUUGAACGGGGUGGGGGUGGGGGUGGGGGUGGUGGAGAGGAGCGUGUGGGAGGAGGUUCGGCGGAGUUUUUUGGAGGUUUCGGAGAUGGUUUUGUCAGGAAAUGAAUCGAUUAAGGCGGCGGUGGAGGAGAGGCUAGUGGAUCUGGAGGCGGUUGAGCGGAGGUUAGCGGUUGUGGAGACGGUGGAAUGGCGGUUGUAUGGCACGCGUUGCCGUUUCUUGGAGGUGGAUGGGAUCAUUAUCGAAAAGUUUCUGGAUUAGGGAAGAUUUUUUUCUGGGUGCAAAUAGGAAGAUCUGGUUGGCAGUGGAAAUUUUUUAAAGCUUGCUGGGUGGACAGGUGGCGUGGUGAUGAUAUUUUUUUUUCAUGAAUUGGCGAGCGGGGAAACUAUGUAGUCGGUGUUUCUUGUCGUUUACUGGAGAAAUUGGUGAAAAAAUUAGCGUGCGAGCGCCCUCAUUUUACUAAACUACCCUCAUUGUUCUAAACUGUGGGCUAUUGCUUUGGAAGUGUACAUCCAUGAUAUACUCCCCCAGUUUCGCUGUGCUUGUAUAAAUUUCUUAAAAUAAAAUAAAAAUUAAUUAAAAUAUCUGUUUUAAAAA